UAGUCCACGCCGUAAACGAUGAGCACUAGUUAUAGGGGUGGUUACACUUCUGUGACGAAGCUAACGCAUUAAGUGCUCCGCCUGGGGAGUACGGCCGCAAGGCUAAAACUCAAAGGAAUUGACGGGGGCCCGCACAAGCGGUGGAUUAUGCGGUUUAAUUCGAAGCAACGCGCAAAACCUUACCUGGGUUUGAAAUCCUGAGAAUCCUCCCGAAAAGGAGGAGUGCCCUUCGGGGAAUUCAGUGACAGGCGCUGCAUGGCUGUCGUCAGCUCGUGUUGUGAAAUGUUGGGUUAAGUCUCGCAACGAGCGGAACCCCUGUCCUUAGUUGCCAGCAUUAAGUUGGGCACUCUAAGGAGACCGCCGGGGUUAACCCGGAGGAAGGUGGGGAUGACGUCAAGUCCUCAUGGCCCUUAUAUCCAGGGCUACACACGUAAUACAAUGGUUAGUACAGAGGGAUGCAAGCUCGCGAGGGUAAGCAAAUCUCAAAAAGCUAAUCUCAGUCCGGAUUGGAGUCUGCAACUCGACUCCA
rnacentral:rRNA from 1 species